rnacentral:rRNA from 1 species
AUCAUGGCUCAGAUUGAACACUGGCGGCAGGCCUAACACAUGCAAGUCGAACGGUAACAGGAAACAGCUUGCUGUUUCGCUGACGAGUGGCGGACGGGUGAGUAAUGUCUGGGAAACUGCCUGAUGGAGGGGGAUAACUACUGGAAACGGUAGCUAAUACCGCAUAACGUCGCAAGACCAGAGAGGGGGACCCUCGGGCCUCUUGCCAUCGGAUGUGCCCAGAUGGGAUUAGCUUGUUGGUGGGGUAACGGCUCACCAAGGCGACGAUCCCUAGCUGGUCUGAGAGGAUGACCAGCCACACUGGAACUGAGACACGGUCCAGACUCCUACGGGAGGCAGCAGUGGGGAAUAUUGCACAAUGGGCGCAAGCCUGAUGCAGCCAUGCCGCGUGUAUGAAGAAGGCCUUCGGGUUGUAAAGUACUUUCAGCGGGGAGGAAGGGAGUAAAGUUAAUACCUUUGCUCAUUGACGUUACCCGCAGAAGAAGCACCGGCUAACUCCGUG